rnacentral:lncRNA from 1 species
AUAUUCAGGACGAGAACAAGUUCACAAUAAAUACAAUAGGUAGGUUGAUAUAAUAGAGGCCAUCUUGGAUGAUGGUCGGGGAAAUUUGGACUGCCACUGGAAAAUGAGGGUAUAUUGGAUAGGGACAGAAAUUUUGCCUUGCAACAGGCCACCUACGGACCCCUCAAAGAGUUGUUGCAAGGGUUCUUAACGUGCAAAGAGCGUGGCACUCUCUUUACACGAUGCAUCGGAUUUAACGUCCCAUUCUGACCGGACUUGACUGCGAACUUGAUACAUCCCGCACAGCCAAACGGACGCCCCACUUCAGCAAGCGUUUUACUGCCGGUCGGGAGAAGACCAAGUGACCAUAUUUCUAGACCCCAGUCACCCUUGGGGAUUACUCUUAUACAAGAGUUACUUGUAAGAAUUAUAACACUCACUGCCAAGUUGAUUGCAGUUAUUGCUACUUUAGUGAUGAAUAUGAAAUAUUAUAAUAAACACAACAGUUGGGUGCACUGACACCUACC